UGCGUAGGCGGGCUAAUAAGUCAGUGGUGAAAUCUCUCGGCUCAACCGGGAAACUGCCAUUGAUACUGUUAGUCUUGAGUUCGGUUGAGGUAGGCAGAAUGUGUAAUGUAGCGGUGAAAUGCUUAGAUAUUACACAGAACACCAAUUGCGUAGGCAGCUUACUAGACCGACACUGACGCUGAGGCACGAAAGCGUGGGGAGCGAACAGGAUUAGAUACCCUGGUAGUCC
rnacentral:rRNA from 1 species